UAUAGCUCAGUGGCAGAGCGCAUGCUUAGCAUGCACGAGGUCCUGGGUUCAGUCCCCAGUA
rnacentral:tRNA from 1 species